rnacentral:rRNA from 1 species
GACGAACGCUGGCGGCGUGCCUAACACAUGCAAGUCGAGCGAAUGAAGUUCCUUCGGGAAUGGAUUUAGCGGCGGACGGGUGAGUAACACGUGGGCAACCUGCCUCAUAGAGGGGAAUAGCCUCCCGAAAGGGAGAUUAAUACCGCAUAAGAUUGUAGUACCGCAUGAUACAGCAAUUAAAGGAGCAAUCCGCUAUGAGAUGGGCCCGCGGCGCAUUAGCUAGUUGGUGAGGUAAUGGCUCACCAAGGCGACGAUGCGUAGCCGACCUGAGAGGGUGAUCGGCCACAUUGGGACUGAGACACGGCCCAGACUCCUACGGGAGGCAGCAGUGGGGAAUAUUGCACAAUGGGGGAAACCCUGAUGCAGCAACGCCGCGUGAGUGAUGACGGCCUUCGGGUUGUAAAGCUCUGUCUUCAGGGACGAUAAUGACGGUACCUGAGGAGGAAGCCACGGCUA